GAUGAACGCUGGCGGCGUACCUAAUACAUGCCAGUCGAGCGAACAGACGAGGAGCUUGCUCCUCUGACGUUAGCGGCGGACGGGUGAGUAACACGUGGAUAACCUACCUAUAAGACUGGGAUAACUUCGGGAAACCGGAGCUAAUACCGGAUAAUAUAUUGAACCGCAUGGUUCAAUAGUGAAAGACGGUUUUGCUGUCACUUAUAGAUGGAUCCGCGCCGCAUUAGCUAGUUGGUAAGGUAACGGCUUACCAAGGCGACGAUGCGUAGCCGACCUGAGAGGGUGAUCGGCCACACUGGAACUGAGACACGGUCCAGACUCCUACGGGAGGCAGCAGUAGGGAAUCUUCCGCAAUGGGCGAAAGCCUGACGGAGCAACGCCGCGUGAGUGAUGAAGGUCUUCGGAUCGUAAAACUCUGUUAUUAGGGAAGAACAAAUGUGUAAGUAACUAUGCACGUCUUGACGGUACCUAAUCAGAAAGCCACGGCUAACUACGUG
rnacentral:rRNA from 1 species